UCUCCUGUAGUUCAGUGGUAAAGCAUCCGACCAGUGCGCAGAAGCUCAUAGGUUCGACUCCUGUUGGGAGAA